CAGAAGCUGUAUACAGACAG
rnacentral:piRNA from 1 species